rnacentral:rRNA from 1 species
CCUACGGGGGGCAGCAGUGGGGAAUAUUGCACAAUGGGGGAAACCCUGAUGCAGCGACGCCGCGUGAGUGAAGAAGUAUUUAGGUAUGUAAAGCUCUAUCAGCAGGGAAGAAAAUGACGGUACCUGAUUAAGAAGCCCCGGCUAACUACGUGCCAGCAGCCGCGGUAAUACGUAGGGGUCAAGCGUUAUCCGGAUGUGCUGGGUGUAAAGGGGGCGUAGACGGCAGCACAAGUCUGGAGGGAAAUGCCGGGGCUUAACCCAGGAACUGCUUUGGAAACUGUGCAGCUAGAGUGCAGGAGAGGUAAGUGGAAUGCCUGGUGUAGCGGUGAAAUGCGUAGAUAUUAGGAGGAACACCAGUGGCGAAGGCGGCUUACUGGACUGUAACUGACGUUGAGGCUCGAAAGCGUGGGGAGCAAACAGGAUUAGAUACCCGGGUAGUC